AUGGAGGCGGGGAGCGGUGGCCAUCUCGUGCCUCUCCUCGACGUCCAUGGCGGCGGCGGCGGCGGCUUGGACGCGUCCCUCCUGCGCCGCCUCUACAUCGGCCACUUCCUCGCCAGAUGGGGUGCAUGUAUGUGGGAGUUCUCGGUGGGGCUGUACAUGAUCCGCAUCUGGCCGGGCUCGCUGCUUUUCGCGGCCGUCUACGGCGUCGUCGAGGCCUCCUCCGUCGUCGUCUUCGGCCCCAUGGUUGGCACCCUCGUCGAGAGGCUCACAUACCUUCAGGUUUUGGGCCUAUGGCUGCUGGUUCAAAGCUUAUCCUUCAUCACUGCUGGGGUUUCGGUAACCGGACUGCUUAUCUACGAUCAGCUGAAAGACACAAGCUUCCCAGUCUUCUUAGCUCUAGUCGUGGUGACUAACCUGUCGGGCGCGCUCGCGGCGCUCUCAACUCUUGCCGGCACCAUACUGAUUGAGCGAGAAUGGGUGGUGGUGAUUUGCGGCGGGCAUCCGCCGGCGGUACUGACGAAGACCAACUCGAUGAUCCGGAGGAUCGACCUGAGCUGCAAGCUGCUGGCGCCGGUCCUGUCCGGGUUCAUCAUCAGCUUCGUUUCCACGCAGGCCUCCGCGGUGGCGCUUGCGCUGUGGAACCUCGCCUCGGUGUGGCUGCAGUACUGGCUCUUCGUCUCCGUGUACAACGGCGUGCCCGCUCUCAGCGAGGACGUCCAGCUGAGAAGGGAGUCGACCUCAGCGCUGGUGGUGGCACCGGCUGACGAGGAGGUGCAAGGGUGCGGUCAGGACGCACCGGAUUGGAGGGUGGGUGUUACGGAGCGGCUCUCCAUCCUGCCCUGCUGGGACUCAUGGGCGGUUUACAUGAGGCAGGAGGUGAUGCUGCCAGGGGUUGCUCUUGCCAUCCUCUACUUCACAGUACUAAGCUUUGGUACGCUGAUGACUGCAACUCUGGACUGGAAAGGCAUCCCGGCUUACGUGAUCAGCCUGGCACGGGGGUUCAGCGCCGUCGUCGGGAUCGCGGCGACCUUGCUGUACCCGGUGGUGCACUCGUGGGUGUCCACGCUUCGAACGGGGCUCUGGUCCGUCUGGAUGCAGUGGUGCUGCCUGCUGCUCUGCGUCGGCUCCAUCUGGGUGAGCGACGGCGUGGCGUCAGCGUGGGUGCUCAUGGCCGGCGUCGCGGCGUCGCGCCUUGGCCUCUGGAUGUUCGACCUGGCGGUCAUGCAGCUGAUGCAGGACAGCGUCCCGGACUCUGACCGGUGCGUCGUCGGAGGGGUCCAGAACUCGCUGCAGUCCAUGUUCGACUUGCUCACCUACAUCAUGGGCAUCAUCGUCUCCGACCCCAAGGAUUUCAGCGAGCUGAUCGUCCUGUCCUUCCUGCUGGUGACCUGCGCCGCGCUCAUGUACACGCUGCACGUAUACCGCGUACGGAAACACCUCUUGCAUCUGGACAAGAUCUUUGCCAAGAUGGGUUGGUGUGCGACCUUGCAAUAG
rnacentral:rRNA from 1 species